rnacentral:rRNA from 1 species
GGGUAAAGGUAGAAGUCUGACGGAGCACGCCGCGUGAGUGAUGAAGGCUUUCGGGUCGUAAAACUCUGUUGUUAGGGAAGAACAAGUGCUAGUUGAAUAAGCUGGCACCUUGACGGUACCUAACCAGAAAGCCACGGCUAACUACGUGCCAGCAGCCGCGGUAAUACGUAGGUGGCAAGCGUUAUCCGGAAUUAUUGGGCGUAAAGCGCGCGCAGGUGGUUUCUUAAGUCUGAUGUGAAAGCCCACGGCUCAACCGUGGAGGGUCAUUGGAAACUGGGAGACUUGAGUGCAGAAGAGGAAAGUGGAAUUCCAUGUGUAGCGGUGAAAUGCGUAGAGAUAUGGAGGAACACCAGUGGCGAAGGCGACUUUCUGGUCUGUAACUGACACUGAGGCGCGAAAGCGUGGGGAGCAAACAGGAUUAGAUACCCUGGUAGUCCACGCCKUAWACGAUGAGUGCUAAGUGUUAGAGGGUUUCCGCCCUUUAGUGCUGAAGUUAACGCAUUAAGCACUCCGCCUGGGGAGUACGGCCGCAAGGCUGAAACUCAAAGGAAUUGACGGA